AUUGAACGCUGGCGGCGUGCCUAACACAUGCAAGUCGAACGUGAAACCCCGCAAGGGGGAGUAAAGUGGCGUACGGGUGAGUAAUACGUAGGUAAUCUACCCCAGAGUCUGGAAUAACCGGCCGAAAGGCUGGCUAAUACUGGAUAGAGCGACGGAAUCCGUAAUUGGGUUUUUCGGGAAAGGGAGCUCGCAAGAGCCUUCGCUCUGGGAUGAGCCUGCGUCCCAUCAGCUGGUUGGUAAGGUAACGGCUUACCAAGGCGAUGACGGGUAGCUGGUCUGAGAGGAUGAUCAGCCACACUGGAACUGAAACACGGUCCAGACUCCUACGGGAGGCAGCAGUGGGGAAUCUUGCGCAAUGGGCGAAAGCCUGACGCAGCCACGCCGCGUGAGUGAAGAAGGCCUUCGGGUUGUAAAGCUCUGUCGGAAGGGACGAAAACUCCUGGUGUUAACAGCAUCAGGAAUUGACGGUACCUUUAGAGGAAGCACCGGCUAACUCUGUGCCAGCAGCCGCGGUAAAAC
rnacentral:rRNA from 1 species